rnacentral:rRNA from 2 species
UGAGGAAUAUUGCACAAUGGGCGCAAGCCUGAUGCAGCAACGCCGCGUGAGGGACGAAGGCCUUCGGGUCGUAAACCUCUUUUCUGAGGGACGAGUAAGGACGGUACCUCAGGAAUAAGUCUCGGCUAACUACGUGCCAGCAGCCGCGGUAAAACGUAGGAGGCGAGCGUUAUCCGGAUUUACUGGGCGUAAAGCGUACGCAGGUGGCUUCGUGAGUCGGACAUGAAAGCUCCUGGCUUAACUGGGAGAGGUUGUUCGAUACUGCGGGGCUUGAGGUUGGGAGAGGGACGUGGAAUUCCCGGUGUAGUGGUGGAAUGCGUAGAUAUCGGGAGGAACACCAGUGGCGCAAGCGGCGUCCUGGCCCACACCUGACGCUGAGGUACGAAAGCGUGGGUAGCAAACAGG